rnacentral:rRNA from 78 species
CGUAGGUGACCUGCGG